UACGUAGGGUGCAAGCGUUAAUCGGAAUCACUGGGCGUAAAGCGUGCGCAGGCGGUUGUGCAAGACAGAUGUGAAAUCCCCGGGCUCAACCUGGGAACUGCAUUUGUGACUGCACAGCUUGAGUGCGGCAGAGGGGGAUGGAAUUCCGCGUGUAGCAGUGAAAUGCGUAGAUAUGCGGAGGAACACCGAUGGCGAAGGCAAUCCCCUGGGCCUGCACUGACGCUCAUGCACGAAAGCGUGGGGAGCAAACAGG
rnacentral:rRNA from 1 species